UGAGUAACACGUAUCCAACCUGCCGUCUACUCUUGGACAGCCUUCUGAAAGGAAGAUUAAUACAAGAUGGCAUCAUGAGUCCGCAUGUUCACAUGAUUAAGGGUAUUCCGGUAGACGAUGGGGAUGCGUUCCAUUAGAUAGUAGGCGGGGUAACGGCCCACCUAGUCUUCGAUGGAUAGGGGUUCUGAGAGGAAGGUCCCCCACAUUGGAACUGAGACACGGUCCAAACUCCUACGGGAGGCAGCAUG
rnacentral:rRNA from 1 species